UUUGAUCAUUAAAUGCAUGAAAUGUACCUACUCUGGACAAAUAGCAAUCUAUUAGAAAUUCUAUUAAGUUAGGUAAGUAUCUUUGGAAGCCAGCUUAAUAAAAACUAUAAUACAUACAUAUUUCUAUAUAGUUUACCUUUUAGAAUUAAAAUAUUAAUUUCUAAUCUACAUGUCUAGCUAAAUUAUAGAUUUAUUCAAAUUGUGUUUAUCUAAUAAGGAAAAGGCAGAUCCGAAUUAUUUCUUUUAUUUAAUGCUGGGUUAUGCCAGAGCAACAAAAUGCGACAAUGCGGCAUACAGCAACAGUCUAUUUUACGCCAAGAACUCAUCGUGCCAUAGGUAGAAAUAUUGCGGUACGAUAGCUUGCCAGUUGCCACAUAAUAUAAGAUGUUGCAUAUUUGAUGAACUUGAUGCAAUGUGAGGUCUUGUGCUUUAAGAUUCUUUUCACCUAAGCAAAUAGUACGGCAUUGCGGCAUGCUACAGGGCCUCAUGGUAUAACAAUUCAAAAUGUAGCAAGAAUCGUCGGCAGGCU